rnacentral:rRNA from 1 species
GGGUAACACGUGAGUAACCUGCCCUUGACUUUGGGAUAACUUCAGGAAACUGGGGCUAAUACCGGAUAGGAGCUCCUGCUGCAUGGUGGGGGUUGGAAAGUUUCGGCGGUUGGGGAUGGACUCGCGGCUUAUCAGCUUGUUGGUGGGGUAGUGGCUUACCAAGGCUUUGACGGGUAGCCGGCCUGAGAGGGUGACCGGCCACAUUGGGACUGAGAUACGGCCCAG